UACAGAGGUCCCAAGCGUUGUUCGGAUUCACUGGGCGUAAAGGGUGCGUAGGUGGCCGGUUAAGUCUGACGUGAAAUCUCCGAGCCUAACUCGGAAACUGCAUCGGAAACUAUCCGGCUCGAGGGUUGGAGGGGGGACUGGAAUACUUGGUGUAGCAGUGAAAUGCGUAGAUAUCAAGUGGAACACCAGUGGCGAAGGCGAGUCCCUGGACAACUCCUGACACUGAGGCACGAAGGCCAGGGGAGCAAACGGG
rnacentral:rRNA from 1 species